ensembl:lncRNA
CGGCGACGGGAGGGUGCGGGGGGCAAGGAGGAACUGUAGGUGGGCGGGGUCACCGUGGUCGCGGGAACGCGGCAGGUGGGCUAGAGCAUCCCGCAGGGGAAGCCCAGGAGGCCGGGUCGGGGUGCGGGGCGCCGCACGUGGGGCACCGGGUCACUGGCGGUUGUGGGGCCCGAACCGUCGCCGAGGCGCGCGCCCGUUCCCACAGGGUUCCUGCCCGGGUGGCUCUCGGGGCCCGGGCUCCCCAGCCUCUCCUCCCGCCUCCGGAUCGUCUAGUCGGUGGGCGUCGCCUGCUGGCGAGGAUAAGCGCGGGCUCCGUCCCCACAGUGGCUCUGGCCGCAAGACGAGGAGGCGGACUGGGGUCGUUGGAGGACGCGCGGGGACUCUGGCCACCGCUGGCGCCGGGCUGGGCGCUGGAAGGGAAGGGACGGGGGAAGGGCAGGAAGGUCCUGGCGAGGCGAUAAGACCCAAGCCGCGGUGUCCGGGGUCGCCGGCCGGAUGUUCGCUGCCCCGCCGGGCACUCCCGGACCGAUGCGCUAGUGUCUGGUCCGCUGGGUGAUGGAUGAACAGGGAGCUUGGUCCCUGUCGGUUCCUGCCGCAGGUGCAGACGGAUGCGCAGUCUUUCGGAGCGCACAGCGCUGAGCUUGGGAAAAGAUACAAAUACCUGCCAUGAACAAGGCCAGACUUCUGAUCUCUACCCUGGACCAGAAGUGAUGGAGCAACUUCUAAACCCCCCGUGGUCAUUGGAAUCACCUGGCCUGGUUUUUCCCGCUCCACCAGAACCGCAGAAGCCCAGUUUCUGGGAAUGCUGCUUGAAAAGAUAUAUUUUCAACAAGUCACAGCACAUUCUGGUGACUGCAGAGUCUGAGGGCACCUGCUCCGAAGAGUGAAACUGAGCAGCGAUACUGAGAAGAUAUUGGGCAUCGGGAGGCUGCCCUUAACUGUCCUGGCCCGGGAGCCAGGUUCAUGUUUCUCCAGCCAAAGGUUUUCCCUCUCCAGGAUUUGUGCUCCAGAAUCAUCCACCCCUUUCUGGAGCAUUCUGCACUUUGAAUUUUAGCCCCAAAGUCUUUAUAUUCUUAUAAAAUUGACAUUUUUGUAAUUUAGAGGAUUGGCCAUUUGUCAUUGAGUUGUCUGUAAUGUAUUGAGUUGGCCAAACAGUUUGUAAGAUGGUAUGGAAAAACCUGAAUGAACUUUUUGGCCAACCCAGUAAAAAAUAAUAGAUGCAAACUAAGAGUCCAAUCAAUGGGUUAAGUACAUUUUAAUGCAAAUAUACACAUGGCCUUCUAUUGCUGGUAUGAUUAUGAAGACAAAUCCAUUUACAUGGAAGUGUAUUUAGGAUAUGUUAAUAAAUGAAGAAGGAGAUCAGAAAUACCAUUAAACUGUGUGUAUGCGUGCGCACACAUGCAUAUGUAAAUUUAGAUAUUUUAUUUUCCUUCUGCUUAUUAUGGGACUUCCCACAGUAUGCAGUGGUAAAGAACCCCUCUGCCAAUGCAGGAGAUAUAAAAGACUCUAGUUCCAUCCCUGGGUUGCGAAGAUCCCCUGGAAAAGGGCAUGGCACCCUCUCCAGUAUUUUUGCCUGGAGAAUCCCACAGACAGAAGUCUGGUGGGCUACAGCCCAUAGGGUUGCAAAGAGUCGGACGUGACUUAGCAUGCACACAGUCUAUGGAAAGACACAGCCAUCUCUCCCUUCUUUUUCUUUUGCAGUGUUUAUUUUAGUAUUUCUUCAGCUGGUGGUGGUUUUUUGUUGUUGUUGUUGUUGUUGUUGUUGUUUGGCCUUAGAAGAGGCUUCUCUGAUACAAGAGGGAGAAUCACAUGCCAUGUUGAGGUCACAGCUUACCUCCAAUGUGCUGAUUCUCCACUGCUACCUAAAAAAUUACCCUGAGCUUCUGUGGCUUAUAUGACCACUUAUAUCACACGUUUAUCAUCCCAGAGAGGGCGUGCAGGAGGGUUUUGCUGGGCCCUCUGCUUGGGGUCUCAGAGGCUGCAGAGGUGUCGCCGGGGUCCCGAUUCUCCUCUGAUCCCUCAUCUUAGCAAC